UACGAAGGGUGCAAGCGUUACUCGGAAUCACGGGGCGUAAAGCGUGCGUAGGCGGUUGGUUAAGUCUGCUGUGAAAGCCCUGGGCUCAACCUGGGAACUGCAGUGGAUACUGGCCAGCUCGAGUGUGAUAGAGGAUGGUGGAAUUCCCGGUGUAGCGGUGAAAUGCGUAGAGAUCGGGAGGAACACCAGUGGCGAAGGCGGCCAUCUGGAUCAACACUGACGCUGAGGCACGAAAGCGUGGGGAGCAAACAGG
rnacentral:rRNA from 1 species